UACGUAGGGUGCAAGCGUUGUCCGGAAUUAUUGGGCGUAAAGAGCUCGUAGGUGGCCUGUCGCGUCGGCUGUGAAAACUCGGGGCUCAACUCCGAGCUUGCAGUCGAUACGGGCAGGCUAGAGUUCGGCAGGGAGACUGGAAUUCCUGGUGUAGCGGUGAAAUGCGCAGAUAUCAGGAGGAACACCGGUGGCGAAGGCGGUUCUCUGGGCAUUACCUGACGCUGAGGAGCGAAAGUGUGGGGAGCAAACAGG
rnacentral:rRNA from 1 species